rfam:Ornithorhynchus anatinus chromosome 2, whole genome shotgun sequence.
AGCAGCGUGGCUCAGUGGAGAGAGCCCGGGCUUGGGAGUCAAAAGUCAUGGGUUCGAAUCCCAGCUCUGCCA